AGAGUUUGAUCAUGGCUCAGAUUGAACGCUGGCGGCGUGCCUAACACAUGCAAGUCGAGCGGUAACAGGUGUAGCAAUACAUGCUGACGAGCGGCGGACGGGUGAGUAACGCUUGGGAAUCUGCCUGUUAGUGGGGGACAACCCGGGGAAACUCGGGCUAAUACCGCAUACGCACUACGGUGGAAAGCCGGGGACCGCAAGGCCUGGCGCUAACAGAUGAGCCCAAGUCGGAUUAGCUAGUUGGUAGGGUAAUGGCCUACCAAGGCGACGAUCCGUAACUGGUCUGAGAGGACGACCAGUCACACCGGAACUGAGACACGGUCCGGACUCCUACGGGAGGCAGCAGUGGGGAAUAUUGGACAAUGGGGGCAACCCUGAUCCAGCGACGCCGCGUGGGUGAAGAAGGCCUGCGGGUUGUAAAGCCCUUUCGGUUGGGAAGAAAAGCUGUGACCUAACACGUUGCGGCCUUGACGUAACCAACUAAAGAAGCACCGGCUAACUCUGUGCCAGCAGCCGCGGUAAUACAGAGGGUGCGAGCGUUAAUCGGAAUUACUGGGCGUAAAGCGCGCGUAGGCGGCUUUGCAAGCCGGAUGUGAAAUCCCCGGGCUUAACCUGGGAACUGCAUUCGGGACUGCAUUGCUAGAGUAUGGGAGAGGGAAGUGGAAUUUCAGGUGUAGCGGUGAAAUGCGUAGAUAUCUGAAGGAACAUCAGUGGCGAAAGCGACUUCCUGGACCAAUACUGACGCUCAUGUGCGAAAGCGUGGGGAGCAAACAGGAUUAGAUACCCUGGUAGUCCACGCCAUAAACGAUGAGAACUGGGAUGUCGGGAGGGUCUGCCUCUCGGUGUCGUAGCUAACGCGUUAAGUUCUCCGCCUGGGGGAGUACGGGCCGCAAGGGUUGAAACUCAAAGGAAUUGACGG
rnacentral:rRNA from 1 species